rnacentral:lncRNA from 1 species
ACCUCUCUCUCAUUUCUUUCCCCCCUCUCUUACAAUCUCUCAUCUUCCCACAUUUGUGUCUUCUCCCAUAAUAUAAGUAUAUUUGAAUCCUCUGUUAUGAAAUAAUAUAAAUAAUGAUGACAAAAGAAUAAUAAUAAUAAUUGAAGAUGUGCAAGAUUACAUCCAAGGAUGAAAAUAUCGGUAAUCACGGAUAUAUCGGUACUUCGAUUUUACGGAUAUAUCGGAUAUAUCGGAGAUAUAUUGGAUAUAUCGGAGAUAUAUCGGUGGAUAUUUUGGAAAAAAAUAUUGGUGCUUAAAAUUGUUAAAAACUUAUGAAAAUGUAAAGAAAACCUCAUAAUAAUAUAAUUAGAAGUAUAAUAGACAUUUUAAAGUUAUUUUAUUGAAAAUUUUGAUACAUGUAUAACAUGAUUUAUCAUAUUUGAUAAUAAUAUUGUAUGCAUCGAUAAAAAUAUGAAUUUUAUAAGUGUACAUUUAUUAUUAAAUUACAUAUAAUAUUAUGAUAUUUGAUUAUAAUAUGUCUAAUUUUAAAAUAUAUAUUAAUAUUAAAAUAUGAUCCAUUUAAUUCAAUUGUAUUAAACAAUAUAAAAUAAAUUAUAAUAUAUAUAUAUAUAAUUUUUUAAUAUUUAAUUAAUUAUUAAUGAUAUUAAAAACAUUAUGAAGAAAAUUAUAUAAUUUUUAUAUUUUUGGUAAUUAAUUAAAAGAAAAUUUUUUUUUAAUUAUAAAAUAAUUAUAAUUAAUUUGCUCUUUAAAAUAUUCUUUUAACAUUUUCUUUAUAUAAGGACUUUAAGUAUAUAUAUGUUUAAUGCAAUAUAUAUCAUAAGGGCGAGUUAGCCCAGAUGGCAAGAAGGCUGAACCCCAAACCUUUUGGUUUGGGGUUCAAAUCCCCUCGGAAGCAAUUUGUUUGGGGAGGUGCACUGUAGCGGGGACACUGUAGCACAUUUGGCUUUCACCGCGUUGACCAGGCGAUAUAUCGAGGAAAAUCGCCAAUAUAUCGCGAUAAAUCGCCGAUUUCUCGAGAUUUAUCCUGAAAAAUCGGCUGGCCGAUAUUUCUGGAAGAAAAAUCGUGUCGAUACCCUUCGACACACGAUAUUUCGGCGAUAUAUUGCCGAAAUAUCGCGACAUUUUCCUCCUUGAUUACAUCUACCCUUUUUCCCAUUUUGUGAGAUUUAAUCUUAGCCCUUCUUUACAUAUUUCUUUUUCCCAUUCUAUGAGAUUUCAUCCUAGCCAUUCAUCUCAUAUUCCUUUUUCCCAUUUUUGUCUCUCUUCCCACUUACUCUCAUACCUACCCCUUCUUGUUCCUCCUUUGCGGCUUCUCCCAUUUUCCUUUUCUUAUCCUCCAAACACCCCUUUUCUCUCUAUUUUCUCAACCCCCAAACACCCAUUCCUCUCCAUUUUUUCUCAAUUUCUUAACCCCGAAACACCCAUAUCUCUCUAUUUUCUCUCAUUUUAUCAACCCCUAAACACCUCUCUCAUUUCUUUCCCCCAUCUCUUACAUUUUCUUUUCCUCCCACAUUUGUGUGUCCUCCUUUCAUAGUCUCAACAUUUCUAACACAUAGAUCCAUCCAUGACAACUGUCAUGAAUGCUCAUCCUCGUCAUAAACCAAUCCGGCACAACAGACAGCCACACUCCACAAAUGAUCGGAUCUCGCAAUGCCAUAUUUUGUUGACCACUACAUCUUUUCAUUAUGGUGUAAAUAGAUUUAAUUGCAAUUUGGUUUUUAUUUUUUAGUUUUCUAGCUGAUUAUUGUGUAGGGAUGUAUUGGACUUUUGAUAUAUUAUUUGUUUGGUUGGUACCUUGGCUUACAACCUAGGUAAUGUUCGAUUUUCUAUGGAUUGAUUAAGCUUUAUUUGGGCUUAUUUGAGAUUGAAUAUGAAUUUUUAUUUUAUGAAUGUUAAUUUUGUUCUACAAAAUUUGGAUAUUAUGUUUUGUAAAUGAAAUGAAUUUGUCAUAGGAAGUUGCUCCUGACCAACUCCCCUCUGCAUUUAAUGCCCACUGCUUAUGACCAACACCACUCUGCAUUAAAUGCAUAAGCCACUUUCGGUACCGAAGUGGUACCGUAGAUUCUCCCUUUUUUCACGAACGCUUUCC